AUUGAACGCUGGCGGCAGGCCUAACACAUGCAAGUCGAACGAGUGGCGGACGGGUGAGUAAUGUCUGGGAAACUGCCCGAUGGAGGGGGAUAACUACUGGAAACGGUAGCUAAUACCGCAUACUAUCGGAUGUGCCCAGAUGGGAUUAGCUAGUAGGUGGGGUAACGGCUCACCAAGGCGACGAUCCCUAGCUGGUCUGAGAGGAUGACCAGCCAGACAGAAACUGAGACACGGGCCAGACUCCAACAGGAGGCAGCAGUGGAGAAUAUUACACAAUGGGCGCAAGCCUGAUGCAGCCAUGCCGCGUGUAUGAAGAAGGCCUUCGGGUUGUAAAGUACUUUCAGCGGGGAGGCGUUACCCGCAGAAGAAGCACCGGCUAACUCAGUGCCAGCAGCCGCGGUAAUAC
rnacentral:rRNA from 1 species